GGGGCUUGAAGCACAAGGGUUAUCUCCCCUUAUUUCUUGAUUAAAGCCUGGUUUAAGAUGAUGAUGCAGGUACGGUUGUGCCCAUGGCUAGUGAUUCUCUAUCCUCCAGACCUGAGUAUGGAGUGAACGACUGGUGGAUGUUGGAUGUUAAGGAGCAUAGCCAAGACUGUGCUUGUGACUUCUGUGCAUACGCGGCGCCAUGAGGUGUUCGGCGUAUUUUUUAUUAUUGUGAUACAGGUCUAUGGAUAGUAUGUUUUUAAACUUGAUAUGUAUAUGUCUUGAAGGAUUGCAACAGGAUAAGUCAGUUAUGAAUAUUAUGUUUAUCAUUAGAUAAUUUCCUCAUUUUAUUGAUGAUUAUGCUA